CUGUCCUUUCCCUUGCCAUCUUCUAUUUUAGGCUUUUAUUCCACUUGGGUUUCAAAGGGGGUCGUGAGGAGGGUAAGCACAAAUUCUAAUUCAAUUUGGAUAGAGUGGCUGAUUUCAAAUCUGAACUAUCAAAUCAAUUUUUUUGAGGAGGUUGUGCUACAUAAUUCUUUUUCGUUUCUAUAAAAUUAUUUAGUGGUGUUAUACUGUUAAGGAUCAUUAAUUGAAUCUCGCAUGAGAAAAUCUGAUUUCUAUCUUAUUACCAAAAGCUGGACAAUAAGCAGCCAUGAGCAGCUUGUAAUAAAAAAUAAUAUUAAAAUAAUAAAAGCAGAAGCUGAUCGAUGCGUCUGUCUAGUUACUGGUUGUCCUCUUGAUUUGAAACUAGCUCUAGAUAUAAAUCCAUCAUGUCAAUCAACCCAUGGCGUCGCAGGCCCGCUUGUCGUCGAAUGAAGAGGUUUCGGAAAAAAGUGGCGUUGCAGCGCACUUUUCAGAGCAUUAUUGAUCACGAAUGCUAUGCCCCUCACAGAUAGUGAUAAAGAAUAUAUAUAUAUAUAUAUA
rnacentral:lncRNA from 1 species